rnacentral:rRNA from 1 species
GCAAGUCGAGGGGUAACAGGGAAGCUUGCUUCUGCUGACGACCGGCGCACGGGUGCGUAACGCGUAUACAAUCUACCUUAUACUGGAGGAUAGCCCUAAGAAAUUGGGAUUAAUACUCCAUAGUAUUAUGUUUCCGCAUGGUUACAUAAUUAAAGCUUCGGCGGUAUUUGAUGAGUAUGCGUGAUAUUAGUUAGUUGGUGAGGUAACGGCUCACCAAGACUUCGAUAUCUAGGGGGUCUGAGAGGACUAUC